GACGAACGCUGGCGGCGUGCCUAAUACAUGCAAGUUGAGCGAUGAAGAUUGGUGCUUGCACCAAUUUGAAGAGCAGCGAACGGGUGAGUAACGCGUGGGGAAUCUGCCUUUGAGCGGGGGACAACAUUUGGAAACGAAUGCUAAUACCGCAUAACAACUUUAAACAUAAGUUUUAAGUUUGAAAGAUGCAAUUGCAUCACUCAAAGAUGAUCCCGCGUUGUAUUAGCUAGUUGGUGAGGUAAAGGCUCACCAAGGCGAUGAUACAUAGCCGACCUGAGAGGGUGAUCGGCCACAUUGGGACUGGGACACGGCCCAAACUCCUACGGGAGGCAGCAGUAGGGAAUCUUCGGCAAUGGACGAAAGUCUGACCGAGCAACGCCGCGGGAGUGAAGAAGGUUUUCGGAUCGUAAAACUCGGUUGGUAGAGAAGAACGUUGGUGAGAGUGGAAAGCUCAUCAAGUGACGGUAACUACCCAGAAAGGGACGGCUAACUACGUG
rnacentral:rRNA from 1 species